rnacentral:rRNA from 1 species
GACGAACCGUGCGAACGUUAUUCGGAAUCACUGGGCUUAAAGCGCGUGUAGGCGGAUCGGCACGUCCGUGGCUGAAAGCCCCCGGCUCAACCGGGGAAGGGGCGCGGAUACGGCCGAUCUGGAGGGGGGUAGGGGGACCUGGAACUUCCGGUGGAGCGGUGAAAUGCGUAGAGAUCGGAAAGAACACCAACGGCGAAAGCACUCUGCUGGGCCGAACACUGACACUGAGAGACGAAAGCUAGGGGAGCGAAUGGG